GUUGAAUAAAGCCACAGCCGUCGCGAGACGGUGUCGGAAAGCCACGGAUCUCCGGAGGGGAGACAGCCGGGUCGCCUAC
rnacentral:ncRNA from 1 species